AUGACUUUUGGUCCAUAUCGCCCAACCCUACCACAUUAUCUGCAUUAAAUGAUGCAAUAUCAUCUUUCAACUUUAAGUGGGCUGACAAAACUAAAUCGACCUCAUCCUGUGCCUCUCAGUUUUGGGUCCAGAAAAACUGUUGGGGGAAAUGCGCAUGAGAACUGGAGUCUAAUCAGAUUUUUGCCUUUGUUGAUUGGGCGGAGAGUUCCCUGUGAAGAGCCAGCUUGGCAGAUCUUAUCAGACCUAAAGGACAUUGUUGAUCUGGUCGUCAGUCCCAUUCAAACCCAGGACUCCAUUGCAUAUCUUGAUUUUAAGAUCUCUGAGCACAGAAUUAGAUUCCAAGAGGUUUUCCCAGACUGUCACCUUAAACCAAAACACCAUUUCUUAGAGCAUUACCCAUAUUUGAUCCAACAGUUUGGUCCACUAGUUUCCCUAUGGACGAUGCGUUUUGAAGCAAAGCAUAGGUUUUUUAAAAGAGUUGCCAGGAAUAUCAAGUGCUUCAAAAACGUGCUACUUUCCCUUUCAGAGAGACAUCAGUAUCAGAUUGCCCAUCAUUUGCAUGCAUGUAGCUUUACCAGACCUCUAUUGGAAGUGACAAAUGUUUCCACUGUACACAUCGAUGUUCUUAACAAGGACAUUUCAAAUGAUCUGAGACAGAUGUCUUCAGAUAUGGACACAGUGGGCUAGGCCAAAAGUGUGACAUUUGAUGGACUAAACUACAAGUGUGGAAUGAUCUUGAUCCAAGGCUCACUGGGAGGACUGCCAGUGUUUGCUGAAAUCAUCCAAAUGGUGAUGCUGCAGGACAAGUUGAUCUUCAUUGUGAAGAAGCUCAUUGGAUGGUAUAUUGAACACUAUAGAGCUUUUGAUCUCAAACCAUCCCCAGUCGAGGAAGUGGAACUUAUUGAGCCACAAGAACUACAUGAUACAUACCCACUGGCGGACUACAAAAUUGGAGGGAUGCGUCUUGUCACAUUGAAAAGAUACAUCCCUGUUUAAAGGAUGAGCCCUCUCCAUGUAAUUUUCUUUUAUUUUUUUCUCAAUACAUUUUAUUUUUUCAUACCGAAAGCCAAAGGUGGUUCACUUACAGAAGGUAAAUUACAGGACAUAAAUUAUGAGAAUUUUUGUACUGCAUGUGGGUGUUUUUUAUUUUAUAUUUGCCUCACACCUUAUUGUGCUUAUGCUCUCUUUUCAGACUGCCAUGGCUCAUUCCACAACUGCCAGACUUAAAGUGAUUUUGGGGGACAACAACAUUGAAAAACUGACACUUCCCAUUGGCAUACCAGAAUCACUAGAUUACCUUAUCGGCACGAUAAGGAGUACUGGAUUAAAGUGCAGCUUGAAACUGCAGCGUAUGGACCAAGAUUUUGGCAAUGAUUUUUUCAAUCUGAACUCUACUGCUGAACUUCAGAAUUUGGGGAAAAUGCAGGUCAUCCAGCAAACAACGUUGACCAGUACUGCUGCGUCCUCUGCUUCUGUUUCAUCCGAGUCGGAUGACUGUGUUUCACUGGCAUCAAACGAUACUAUACUGCUUUCAUCCCCCGAGUCUCUGUCAUCUCGAACCAAGCAGUGGCCAGAGGAAUUUCCAAUUCCUCAAUUUUCCUAUGACACAGAGUUGCAGUUAGUGAAAGGUAAUUCUGAGUGCCGGGUUGGAAACAAGUUGUUGAUCUUGAGCUCCCGAAUAAAAUCAAAUAUCUUGAAUAGAGUAGUUGAAGAAAUGUACCGAUAUAAGGCCUACCCGGAGGAUGCACAUUUCUGCAUAGUUGCAGAGGCCUUAAUGAAAAAGCACCCUUGUUCAAAAGACCCUGGCUCAUUCCAUGGCUGCUACGGCUGGAAACAGCGACUGAAGUACAAAAUGGGAAACUAUCGGACUCAACUCAACUCAAAGUGCUGGGGUGUCCAGAGCUGUCUAUUGAAGAUAGCAUCUUCAAAAGACAAUAUGGUUUAGUAGUAUGGUUUGCAGUCAAUGUUAAACAGCUCAAAAAAGCUGGACCUUGCUAGCGACCGGUUGCUUUGGUGAUCUAGGAUGACGUAGGCCUUGAUAGCUUUGUCUGGUUGACCUUUAGGACAGUGAUUCUUAACCAUAGGGCCGCGGCCCAAACUUGGGCCGCCGGCGCCCCCUAGAGGGCCGCGAAAAACUUUCAGUUUUGCACCUGUGGGCCCCAAGGGCCGUGGGACUUUGUAGAUUAUCAAGUGAAGACAGAGAUAUGUUAUGCAUGAGACGCUCAGUAACUUACAAUGCCGUUUUCGACCACGCGGUGGCGGUAAUGCAUCACGCAGUUGUUUAGGAAGCGCGAAUACACAGAGAAGAAGAGUCUUCUUCGCUCGCUGCGGCAAAUAUGGAUACGUUUUUUAAAAGAAAACUUGACGACGAACAUCCUGACCCCUCCACCCAAAAGACAAAGUUUUUGCGGAAAUACAAUGUCGACUUCAUUAAAUAGGGUUUCGUACAUGGAGGAACAGAGGCAGUGCCAAAAGCCCAGUGUGUGGAGUGUGGGCUAAUGCUGUCCAACGAAGCCCUCAAGCCCUCAAAACUACAGCGGCAUCUAGAGACCAAGCACCCGAUGCUCGUGGGAAAGCCGGUGGAUUAUUUGUUUUUUUAGAUUGGUCUUUUUUUUUUAAAUUAUUAUUAAAAAUCCUGACUUGAGUCUUGAAAAUGUUCUUGUCACAGCCUGAUUUGGUCCAGGAAUUAUCAGCCUGUUCAGUGUCAUGAUACAGUAUGUGUUACAUACACAUGUUUAAUAAAAGUCUUUGUGAUGACCCCAUUUUAUCAUUUCAUUUUAUUUUACAAGGUUUUUGCUUGUUAAACAGUAAGUGGAUUUGGUUUAUUAUUGAAUACAAAUUAAACCAAGAGUGAGGUCAGUUAAACCUAUACAGUGUUAAUAUUUAGUGGGCCCCGGGCCACUUUGUACUUUAAAAAUUGGGCCUCAAGGUCAAAAAGGUUAAGAACCCCUGCUUUAGGAUAUAGCUUCACAAGACAAAUCUUGGAACAUGACCAGCCAACGUUUCCUGUGCCACAGACCUCUGUGCAGUUUGAGUUAACAGCUUUAAUGGUGCUGCUCUCUUCCUCCUCCCUGCCGUUGUGUGGUGGAGUUGAAUGGGCCUUGACUUGAGGUGCAGGUCCAGGGUGCAUGGUAGAGUCGUGAUAGGUGCUAUCACACUCCAAACACUUAGCAAGGUGAGUAGUUGAGCCACAGCACUUAAAGCAGAUUCCUUUUUCUUUGAGAAAGGCCUUUCAUUCCCUGAAAUCGAAAUCACCGACGGAUGCUUUCCCUGCUAAAAAGGUGAAGGGACCAAAAUGAGCCGAAGCCAACUUCUAUCUGUCCUAUAUAUAUAUAUAUCUGUCCUCAGCCUUUGACACAGUCAGUGUUGCCAACUUAGCGAUUUUGUCGCUAUAUUUAGCUACUUUUCAGACCCCUUUGGCGACUUUUUUUCAAAACAGCGACAAGAGACAAAUCUAGCUCCUUUUUCAGCUGUUAUUGGUGACUUUUGGCGACUUUUUGAGGUGAAAGCACUAUCGCUAUUACCUCUUCACAACGAGCACCGGGUGCCUCCCCCGUCUCAAAGCACUUACAGGCAGCCCAGUCCUCGUGCAGCAGUCCCUCCCAGCUGCUCUGUUAGCAGGAGCUAACAGGAGACGUUCACGCCUCAGCAUCCGGGCUGCAAAUGAAUCCGCGUCCCGGCCAGCAAGCCGCCGCCGACUGAUCCCGGACCCUGACGUACAGUCAGGGCGGGAAAAUGUAAUAUUUUCUUUGUCUAAAUAAAAUAAUAAAUCGCUGUGUUACAUUGACUCACACUGCCUCAGGCUCAGUCACUUCACCUCACCUCGUCCACUGUGUGUGUGUGUGUGUGUUUACCAUGUCGUAGUCAAAACUUUACCAACAAAAAUAUAGGAAAGAGUGGGAAGCAAACACUGCUUUUAAGGGCUGGUUAAAGCCGUUUAUUGGAGACGAUAAACGAGCAUACUGUAGCUAUUGCAAGGUCGAUUUCUGUGCCAAACUCAGUGAUGUGAAGAAACACAGUUCAACCCAAAAGCAUAUUCAAGAGGCAAAGCCUUAAAGUUCAGCUCAAACAACGCUGCCAUUUAUGGUAAGCAAAAUUGGGACUAAGCAAAAAAAGAAAAUGUAGUUUUUUUUUUUAUACUUCCAGUUAUGCAAAUUAGGCGAUGACGUCAUCUAGCGACUUCUAGCGACUUUUAGGAGAGCCAAUAGCUACUUUCCUUCCUGAAGAGUUGGCAACACUGGACACAGUUGACCACAGUUGACACAGUUGACCACCAGAUCCUGCUGAGAAGACUGAGGGAUGAAGUAGGACUGUCGGGGUCAGUUUUACACUGGUUCUCGUCAUACGUUUCUGGGCGUAGCUUUAGUGUCACUGUUAACCAAAUAAGGUCUGAAUCAGCAGAUCUGUUGUGUGGAGUCCCUCAAGGCUCCGUUUUGGGUCCUGUAUUAUUUUUGCUGUAUUUGAUCCCCUUGGGAAAAAUCAUCCAGGGAUUUCCUGAUGUUUCUUACCACAUGUUUGCUGAUGAUAUCCAGCUUUACUGUUCCUUCAAGCCAACUGAGCUCCAGAGGCUAAGUUCCUUAAUUCAGUGCUUGGUGGAGAUAAAACAUUGGCUGAGUGAUAACACCCUGCAGCUUAAUGUGGACAAAACAGAAACUUUGGUUAUUGCCCCUGAUGAUUCCAUUCCAGGGAUUAAACAGUACCUGGGUGACUUGGGCCAGUCUGUCAAACUGAGCCUAAGAAACCUGGGUGUUGUGUUUGACAAAGACAUGUCAUUAGUGCAGCACUGUAAACAGCUGACCAGAAAUAGCUUUUUUCACCUGAGGAACAUUUCGAAACUCAGGAAAAUGGUGUCACAAAAUGACUUGGAGCUGAUCACUCAUGCAUUUGUGUCUUCGCGUUUAGACUAUUGUAAUAGUUUGUUUUCUUGUCUAAAAAAAAAGGAGCUGUCUCGCCUGCAGUUAGUGCAAAACUCUGCAGCGAGAGUUCUGACUCGCACAAAUAGGAGGACUCAUAUAACCCCUAUUCUUAAAGCUCUGCAUUGGCUGCCAGUUUCGUCCAGGAUCAAUUUUAAAAUUUUGGUUUUAACGUUCAGAGCUUUGCAUGGCCAGGCUCCGCCUUAUAACAGUGAUCUGAUCCAGCCUUACACCCUGUUACGCGCCUCCCCUUUUUCUUCUUGUUCCACCCGCUCUAUUUCUCUUCUGUCCUCGCAGGUGUUCCCGAUUCCUGGGGGUGGAGCUACGGCUACUUAAGGCGUGCCCUGUGCUCCCGACAGGGGUCUCAUUCUGGCGUCUUCACGUUGACCCGAGCUGCCUUUGAAUCCUGCUUGGAGUACUGCUAUCGUUUUCGCAUUUGUUUUAUAUAGCGGAGGAUGGGAACUGUAGGGAGGAAGUGCUGGCUUCGACGGCCCAUUGCGUGGCUGGCCCAGGCUUCGUCCAACCUUUUUGUUUCUUUAAUGAGUGUCCUUUUGUUGGAAGUUCUGUGAAAUAAACGUCACCAUCAUUGUGAACGGGAACUUUGGUCUAUGUAUUCUUAAUACGUUGCGGGUCGCCGGAUCGCGAGCCGUGUUGUAAGGGUGGCCGUAACAUAUUUGGGGGCUCGUCCAUACAAGAUUGUUAUUGUUUAUCGCACUUGCGUUGUUGGUAGGGUUCUAUUUUUUUUUUCUCGUCUCCCUCAACUGUGGUUUGAUUUAGUCGAGAUGGAGUUCGAUCUGGAGGGUUUCGUGGAUGACCCAACCAUUGAGAAACUGGAUGGGUGCACGGUAGAACACCUAAAGCUCAUUGCGGGGAGAUACAGUGUCGAUGUGAGUAAGUACGGCAGGAAGCCGAUAAUUAAGGAACGACUUUUGUCUGUUUUGGUUGAACAGGGUGUAUUGGCAGCGCAGGGCGCUAUUCCCCCUCGUGAACCUGAUGAGGCGGGGUUCAACGAGCAGAUAAGAAUGAAGGAGCUUGAGCUGGAGUUGCGUAGGCUGGAAUUGAAGGAGAGGGAGAUUUCCUCCUCGUUGAGAGAGGCGGAAAUUUCCUCCUCUUUGAGAGAGAAGGAGAUUUCUUUAAAGGAGAAGGAGAUGACCUGCCAUUUCGAGGUGAAGAAGCUUGAGGAGGAGACGAAGCGUGUGGUGCGGUUGAAGGAACUUGAGCUGGAGAUUGGCGUGGCUGUGCCAUCUCUCUCAACAGGUGGGCGUACACACUGGGAAAGCGCUGCUUUUGAUGUGACUAGACACAUUCGCCUGCUGCCGGUAUUCUCUGAGAAAGACGUGGAUACGUUUUUUAUUCUUUUUGAGCGUAUUGCAACCACGAUGAAGUGGCCUAGUGAUUUGUGGACGGUGUUGCUGCAGUGUGUGUUGACUGGGAAAGCGCAGGAGGUUUACGCGGCGUUGUCCUCUGAAACCAGUCUAGACUUCUACUUGGUAAAAGCUGCCGUUUUGAAGGCAUAUGAGCUUGUGCCGGAGGCAUAUCGCCAAAGGUUCCGUCGGCAUAGGAGGCUGGAGACGCAAGCUUAUGUGGAAUUUGCUCGGGAGAAGGAGGUUUUUUUUGAUCGGUGGUGUUUGUCACAAGGGGUGCAGACUUUGGGUGAUCUCAGAGCUUUGGUGCUGGUGGAAGAGUUUAAGAACUGCUUGCCUGAGAGAAUUACCACCUAUCUUAAUGAGAAUAAAGCUGUUUCGCUGUCCGACGCUGCGGUCCUUGCUGACGAGUACGCACUUACACAUAAGCUUGUGUUUGAAAGAACUGUGCCGCAAGAGCGGCAUGCUAAAAGCGAUCACGGGGUUUCUGUCCAGCCGGGUAGACACGGCGCUUCGGUCGGUGAGGAGAAGCCCGUUAGGGAAGAUAAGGGCACAAGGGAGCGUCCGGUGUGCUACUAUUGUAAGAAGCCUGGGCACCUGAUCGCUAGUUGUUAUGCUCUGCAGGGGGAUAGGCAACCUACGAAAACGGUGGUUUGUGUACGAUCGGUUAGACCUAAGCCGGAGGUGACUCCUGAGUGUCGGGAUUCAGAGCUGGACGUAUAUGCACCAUUCUUGAUGAGGGGGGAAGUGUCUUUAACUCAGGGGGGGAGUAAAGUGCCGGUGACUAUUCUGAGGGAUACAGCAGCGUCCCAGUCGUUUAUCCUGAGUGAUAUUCUGCCCCUUUCUAGUGCGUCCGGUGUGGAUUCAAGUGUAAUUGUCCGUGGUUUUGGGAUGCAGUGCAUGGGGUCACCGUUGCAUACAGUCUACCUCGAGUCAGAUUUGGUGACCGGUCCGGUGGUUGUCGGUGUUCGUCCCUGUUUCCCGAUUGAAGGAGUGUCCUUUCUGUUGGGAAAUGAUCUAGCUGGGGGCAGGGUGUUGGUAAAACCUGAAGUGACGGUGGUUCCUAUGGUUACGGAGAGUAACGAUAGGUUGGCUCAGAAGUAUCCUGGAGUUUUCUCUGCGUGUGCUGUAACCCGUGCGAUGGCAAAACACCGGCCCUCGGACGAUGAAGUUGGUCUCUCUGGCAGUUUUUUGGAUUUGACUGCUACACCUAUCUCUGGCCAGUCGUCUGGAGGGGUUGGGGAGGUAAGCUUUGCUGAAGUGUUCGAAGGGCGUGGUUCGCUCGUGUCUGAGCAGGGGGCCGACCCUGCUGUGUCACUUAUUUUUGAAAGCGCUGUUUCAGAGCAAGAGAUUGGGUCUGUUGCCUGCGGGUUCUUCAUUAGAAAUGGGGUACUCAUGCGUAAAUGGACUCCGUCGUAUGCACUAGCGGGUGAGGAUUUUGGUGUGGUAACCCAGGUUGUGGUUCCUCCUAAGUAUCGCUCGGAUAUUUUGAGUUUGGCACAUGACCAUCAGUUAGCCGGUCAUUUGGGGGUAAACAAAACGUAUGAUCGGGUACUGCGGCAUUUUUUCUGGCCUGGGUUGAAGAGGGACGUAGUGCAGUUUUGCAAGUCGUGUCAUGUUUGCCAGGUGAUUGGUAAGCCGAAUCAAACGAUCCCACCGGCGCCGUUGUAUCCAAUUCCGGCAGUAGGUGAACCUUUCGAGCGGGUUAUCGUUGAUUGUGUCGGCCCUUUGCCACGUAGCAAGUCGGGUAACCAAUUUUUGCUCACGAUCAUGUGUGCCUCAACGCGGUUUCCUGAGGCUAUCCCACUGCGUAAAAUAACAGCUCCGGUGGUGGUGAAAGCAUUGAUUAAGUUUUUUUCUGUGUUUGGGUUGCCAAAAGUCAUUCAAACGGAUCAGGGGUCAAACUUCAUGUCGCGCGUGUUUGCUCAGGUGCUGAAGCAACUGGCAGUGAGUCAUGUCCACUCGAGUGCGUAUCACCCUGAGUCGCAGGGGGCACUGGAGCGCUUCCACCAGACACUGAAGUCGAUGUUGCGAGCAUACUGUUUGGAGUUUAACAAAGACUGGGAUGAGGGAGUUCCCCUUCUGCUAUUUGCCGUCAGAGAGGUGGUUCAAGAGUCGGUAGGGUUUAGUCCCUCCGAGUUGGUUUUUGCUCACUCUGUGCGAGGCCCAUUGAAGCUGCUGAAAGAGAAGUGGGUGGGUGGUUCUGAACCUCAGAAUCUGUUGGAUUUUGUGUGUGAUUUCCGCUACAAACUGCGCCGGGCUGGUGAGCUGGCAAAGGAGAACCUCGGUGCUGCUCAAAAGAGAAUGAAGGGGUGGUACGAUAGAAAGGCGAGGAGCAGGAAUUUUGCUGCAGGGGAUAAAGUACUAGUUCUGCUGCCGAUCCCUGGGUCCUGUUUGCAAGCUCGAUUCAGUGGCCCCUAUUGUGUGGAAAAGAAAGUGGGUGACUUCGACUAUCUGAUUGCUACUCCGGAACGUAGCCGCAAGAAGAGGCUGUGUCACAUCAAUAUGCUGAAACCAUAUCAGGGUCGUGACGCGGAUCCUGGUCUGGGCGGCCAACGUCCAGCUGAACCCCCGGUGGAGGAGGUGGCCGACGGUGUCGCUAAACCCGGCUCCGCCUGUACUUUGGCGGUGUGCAGCCCUGGAAGUGUCGGGGUCGGGAUUGCGCUGGAGACGGGGGAGGAUGAUGUGGAGGUUCCGUCCAAAGCACUAGUGCAGGGGAGGCUAAAGAACUCUGAAAUGUUGACUGAGCUCGACGCUCAUUUGGCUCACCUACCUGACCUUCAACGCGCUGACGUUGCAGGUUUGAUCUUUUCACGCUCUGAGUUGUUUUCUGACGUUCCUUCCUGUACCUCAGUUCUGCAGCAUGAUAUUGAUGUAGGCGGUUCUCCACCGAUCAAGCAGCAUGCCUACCGGGUGAACCCGGACAAGCGGCGCCGUCUUAAGAAGGAAGUUGGGUACAUGCUGGAGCACGGGAUUGCUGAGCCCAGUUUGAGCUCGUGGAGUUCGCCCUGUCUCUUAGUUGACAAGUCAGAUAAGUCAGAUCGUUUCUGUACUGACUUCCGAAAAGUGAACAAUGUGACAAAGCCGGACAGUUACCCUUUGCCUAGAGUGGAGGAUUGUGUAGAUCGUGUUGGCAGCGCUUCGUACGUGACGAAACUCGAUCUGUUAAAGGGGUAUUGGCAGGUCCCGUUAACGGAACGUGCAAAGGAAAUCUCAGCCUUCGUAACGCCUGAUGAUUUCUUGCAGUACAAGGUGAUGGCUUUCGGGAUGCGUAAUGCGCCCGCUACGUUCCAAAGGUUAGUGAACACGGUCUUGUCGGGUGUACCUGGGUGCGAAGCCUAUUUGGAUGAUGUGGUGGUUCAUUCUGAUACCUGGCAGGGCCACAUGGAGCAGUUAAGUGAGGUGUUUGACCGGUUGAGCAAAGCGAAUCUAACGUUGAAUCUGGCGAAGUGUGAUUUCGGUCAGGCAACUGUUGUUUACUUGGGGAAGGUGGUGGGCCGUGGUGAAGUGCGAACGGUUCAAGCGAAAGUGGAGGCAAUUCAUGAUUUCCCUGCUCCUGCGUCUAGGCGAGACCUGCGUUGUUUUCUGGGGAUGGCGGGUUAUUACAGGGGGUUCUGUAAGAACUUUUCCGCGGUUGCGGCGCCAUUGACCGACCUAAUAAGCCCGAAGGUCCGGUUUGUGUGGUCCGAGGGUUGCCAGUACGCAUUUGAACAGAUUAAAGACCUUCUGUCGAACGCCCCGGUACUUGCUGCGCCGAACUUCGAGAAGCCUUUCAAGUUAGCUAUUGAUGCGUGCGACGUAGGAGCAGGUGCUGUCCUGCUCCAGGAUGGGGCUGAUGGAGUGGAACAUCCUGUGUCUUACUUUUCCAGAAAGUUUAACCGGCACCAGCGUGUUUACUCGACGAUCGAGAAAGAAGCCCUCGCUAUUGUGCUUGCCUUAGAUCACUUUGAGGUUUAUGUCGGGUCGGCAAGCGUUCCUGUUGCCAUCUACACCGAUCAUAAUCCCCUGGUGUACCUGAAAUCGAUGCGUAACACCAAUCAAAGGCUGAUGCGUUGGAGCAUUUUCCUACAGGCCUUCAACGUAGUUAUUAGGCAUAUUCGAGGCAAGGAUAACGUGGUAGCGGAUGCGUUGUCGCGCUUGUAAAUCAGUGCCUGAGAUUGUUGUGUUUUCCUUGUUUUCUGUGUUUUGUUUUUGGGAAAAAAAAAUCAAACUAGAGGAAAACACUAACUUAGGGUGGAGGUGUUACGCGCCUCCCCUUUUUCUUCUUGUUCCACCCGCUCUAUUUCUCUUCUGUCCUCGCAGGUGUUCCCGAUUCCUGGGGGUGGAGCUACGGCUACUUAAGGCGUGCCCUGUGCUCCCGACAGGGGUCUCAUUCUGGCGUCUUCACGUUGACCCGAGCUGCCUUUGAAUCCUGCUUGGAGUACUGCUAUCGUUUUCGCAUUUGUUUUAUAUAGCGGAGGAUGGGAACUGUAGGGAGGAAGUGCUGGCUUCGACGGCCCAUUGCGUGGCUGGCCCAGGCUUCGUCCAACCUUUUUGUUUCUUUAAUGAGUGUCCUUUUGUUGGAAGUUCUGUGAAAUAAACGUCACCAUCAUUGUGAACGGGAACUUUGGUCUAUGUAUUCUUAAUACGUUGCGGGUCGCCGGAUCGCGAGCCGUGUUGUAAGGGUGGCCGUAACACACCCCAACUCGGGCUCUGAGGUCUGUGGAUCAAAAUCUGCUGGUGUUGCCACGCACUCGUUUCCGGACCAGAGGAGACAGAUCCUUCCAGGCUGUUGCUCCCAGGCUCUGGAACGAUCUUCCGCUCACACUGCGUUCAAUGGAGUCUGUUGACUCCUUCAAAAAGCAACUAAAGACUUAUUUGUUUGCUCAUGCUUUUGCUUAGCUGUCUUGGGGCUGCUAUGAUUGUCACCUAGUUGUCUUGACCUUUUAAACUUAAAUUUUGUAUGUACUUCUUAACUGUGUAUUGUUAUUGUUUUUGUUUUAACUGAAGCGCCUUGUGACCCUGGUCUGUGAAAGGCGCUGUACAAAUAAAUCUUACUUACUUACUAUCAAUCCUUCCCUACUGGAGAAACUCAGGACAGCAUGGAAAAUGAGAGAAUAGAACUUCUGACAGAUGUCAAGAGGAGGAACAAUGAAAGGGUAAUCACGAAAUGGCUUGCACGUUUGCAGACAACAUGAGGUGGUCAACCAAGAAUCCAGCAUUCAAGACUGGUGGCCUGCCUUGUUACAUCAGAAAGAGGUAUGGUAACAAUGGAACUGAAAUUUCCUCUGAUUUGAACACUGUUUAUUGACAGAAUCUACAUAUUUAGUUAAACUUUUCGUUGCAUUGACAUUUUGCCUGUUGUGUAUGCAGGCUUCAGUGUUUACGUUGUUAAAACUGAGAUUGAUAAAACUGAGAUUGUAUGUGAGGUAAUUUGCAUUUCCUUUUUAUUUAUUCACUGUCAUUUGUUGUCAUUUUUUUCUGCAUUGAUUAUAGUUAGUCUGGAGCCCUGACCUGUCUUCAGAGAUUUUGAAGAUUAAAUUAAUCAAGAUUUUAUUGUCCUAGACUGAGGACAUUCAUCUUCGAAGGCAGUGUGUCCUGAAAGCCCUCAUCAUCUUCCUCGGCGAGGAUGCAGAUGACCUGAUCAAGGAAUAUCGUGUACGUUUCUACAGCAAUUUGCAUUUCAGCUCAUAAUUUUGAUCCUGUAAAACAAACAAUUUUGUCAACUAUAAUUACUGAAACCUGGUUGGAUUGACUUCAUGUUGUAUUUAUAAUAUAUGUAGUGAUUCUUGCUUAGAGCUACUGGUGAAAAGGUUGGAGUCCUGCAAAACAUAAAGACACAAAGUACUUGACCCUGUCACGAUACCAGGCUUGGCUAAUAAUGAGAUGUGUGGCUGAGCCUAUAAAAUUCUCCAAUCCAUAAAGCACUAUUCAGUGAAAUGAAGUCAAUGUGAUUUUGCAUUUGUCUUUUAAUGUGAGGGGUGAAUAAAAGUGCAAAGUGAUGACAGUGAUGUUUUGUGUCAUGUACUUCAGGACUCUGGACCAGAGGACAUUCAAAGGGACCUGGAGCAUCUCACUGUGGCACAGUUUGUCGAAAGGAUGGGGAAAGACUGCAGGAGCCACCUGAAGACAUAGGCAUUGUCAUCGAGGGCGUGAAGGUUUUGCAUGGACUGACUUCAGUUGCCUCAGCUUGUGCCCUGCUUCUAGGUUUGCUAUAUGCACUUAACCUAGCUUAUCCCAAACCCCUUCGUUUUACUUUCGAAGUGCUUCAGAAAAUCAUCAUGCACCUUGAGCAACACAAGAUGUCCCCCAAAAUCUGUAUGGCAGACUUCAAAGCUCGCAGUAAUGACACGCAUCACAAUUGAUUCCCUUUCUGGACCCAAAAAUGGCCUAGGGAAGAACAAUUUUAAGACAUGGGGCCUGUGGAACUCAAGCCUCUAGGUGUUUUUGCCUUCGUAUGUUUAAUGAGACAAUCAAGAGAGACAAAUAGUCUUCAAACCACAAGAUGAUAUACAUUGAUUUUGUUGCAGGUUUUUGGAAGAGCAGGAGUUUUCUUCUUUUUCUGUGGAACGGUUACAUUUUUGUUUCCAUGUGUUUUCAAAAUAACAAAAUACAAUUUGUGUUAAUGCUUAGAGCUCAAAUACCUUACUGAGGUGUUAAUGUUAGUGUUAUCCAUCGUAACCGAUUUUAAAUUAAGUGCCUUUCAUAUAUACUUUUGCUUCUUUUUUUCAAAAGUGGAAUGUUGAGAUACUAAGUUGUUCGAGUAGUUAAUUGUCAUUACAAAGUUGAAAAAUUUAGUUUUGAGAACUUAUAGGAUUUUCUUUUUUCAAAAACUGGCAGCUGCCAGAAUCAUUGAAAAAGGCUAAAGUACACUAAAAACUGGUUGUCCGAAUAUGGAGGGGGUCUUUUAUUUAUUUUUUGUUACUACCGUGUCUACAAGCUUUUGCUGCUAAAAGGUGUUCGAUAUACAGUAUGAAAGAUUUUGCUUGCCCAAACUGUUAUACACUUUUUAUGCAUUAGUAUUGUGAUUGUUAAAAUGCAUAUUUGCAUGAUAAGUUGGUGCCUACUUUGGACUUUAUUUAGAUGAAUAGUUCAACAUUUGUAAUGCAGCUUUUUGCCUCACACUCCGGCUCAAACACGGGUAGUGAAGGGGAGCAGGUCAAAAGAAUACUUUGCAAUAUAAUUUUGACUAUUGGUCCUGGACCAAUAGUAAAAAUUUCAGUGUCAACUACUCUACUUCAUCCAAGACAACCCAGAAAGGGGGCUCAAUGUGCUAUGUACAGGAAUUGUCCUUUAAGCUAUCCUGGAUGAGCGACCUGUCGACUGCUACAUCCAAAAUGCAUGCAGUUACAGGAAUGGUUAAGCAAUUCAAAAUGACUAAAAUCUUUUCGUAGUCUUAUCUGUAAUGCAUGUUGUGCAUAUGUGGUCAAAGUAAAUUUAACCUGUAUGCAUUUAAUGUGAAAUGUGUUGGAAGAUAUCGGCAUGUUGUGUUUCAUACUUUCAAAUAAUGAAGUAUUUAAAAAAAACAGAUUUGAAAAUGUGAUAUUUCUUUGAAAGCCAACUUACAUUUUUAAUGGUAAAAAAGUAUUUUAAUUAUGUUGAGUAAACUUACAUUUCACAUUAAGGUUACUAUAAAAAAUAUUCUUAACCUCAAGUCAGAAUAUUUGCUUCGAUCGCAACCCCAAGGCGCGGCGUGUGGGAUAGAGUGGAUCGGUUCGUCAAGGCUGCCCCUCCGGAAGAUGAAGUUGAUCAACUUUUCAACGAUCACGACUACUGAUCUGUCCCAGAACCGGCUGCCAUGGAUAUGGCCGCAUCCGCUGCUGAAAGCGUCACAAAUGAAGUAGAGGAGCUGAGAAAGGAGCUACAGGAGUUACUUCUCCAGCGAGAUUUUGGACUGCAACGGUUUGCUGGCUCCGACACAGACAGACGAUUUUACACAAGGGAAGUCAUUUCCAUUUUUUGUAUUCGCCUAUGUGAUAUUAGCUUUGUCCCUAAGUGACGGGGAUAUGUGCCAUGCAGGGACAAUUGCUUUACGUUACAGAUUAAUUUAUAGUACUGUACCAAAUUAUUUCUUAAUAGGUCUAUGUGAAUGAUAAAUAGCACACAAGUAGUGUCAUGUUGAGAGAUGGUGUAAUUCAGGACAGGAGUUGGGAAUGUCCAUGUCUUAUCAGAAUUUAUAUAUUUGAAUGUGACCGCACCAAUAGUUCACAAAAAAACAACAUUUAUAAUACAGAUUUGUGUAAAGACUUACAGAGACGUGUUGCCAGUUAAUGUCCACAAAAGUUUAUUUUUAAAUAGUUGAAAAAAGUCAUUAGUUAUUAUUCUAUGAGAGGAAAAUGGGAGCACUGAAGCGAUAGCGCCAGAAUGUGACCGUCUCCAGCUCCACCAAUGCUGGUCCUAGAACAAAAAUGCUAUUAAACAAUUGUAAAAAUUUAUGAAUUGAGCAGGUAACACCGUACUUAUCUGCAUGCAAGUGCACAGCAAACCACCAAACAGCGCCUCCUAAUGAUACAGCCCCGACAGGAACACUACUCUAAAAAUAAAGAGCACAGAGACCACAUUAGGGCAUUAGAUACCUAGAAACAUCAGGUCGUCUUAUAGGAAGUUGGGGCAGUUAUUAAAAUGCACCCAAAGAGGAAACUAAACAAACCUUUCUGUCAGCCGAGUGCCAGGGAUUAGUUACGGUGCCAUCCGGUAGAGCAACUGUUGCGUACUGGCCCAAGUCACAAUACAGGUUAAAGUGAGGUGACUGAGGCUGAAACAGGCAUAUGGGAGAAAUACAGGUCACCCUGCUACACACACAUUAUAUAUAUAUAUAUGAUAAAAUCGUAAUCUUAGUAGUUACUGUUGACAUUAUUUUGGUAACAAUGUAUACUUUUGAAGAUUUGAAACAUUUUAUGUGGUGUCUUUUGUGAAUAGAUUUGCCAGCUACGACCACCUGAUGGCAAUUUGGUCUUUGAUCGAGCCUUGACAAGAUGGUCCGUGUCUCCAGAGCCAAAUCAGCUGCCCAGAAAAAAGAAGUGGUCGCACCUGCACGUGCAUCAACGAGACAGCUGCUCCAGCCCAUAGAUGAACUCUUUCUUUUUCUGAACUAUCUUUCGGCUGGAUUGAAGGAGAGAGACCUGGCAAAUCGCUUUAAAAUUCACCAGUCCACAGUGAGGCGCAUCAUUGCCACAUGGACUUGUUUUCUGGCCACAGCACUAGGGUCUAUUUGUAUUUGGCUCACACCUGCAGAGGUACAGGCUUACCUCCCGGAGGAAUUCCGGGAUUACCCGGACACCCAGGUAAUUCUUGAUUGCACUGAGCUUAGAUGCCAAACCCCAUCCUCACCCCUCCUUCAAAGUGAGAUGUACUCUACGUACAAAUCCCACUGCACCAUGAAAGGCCUGGUUGGCAUAGCCCCACAUGGUGCAGUGACAUUCAUUUCCGCAUUGUAUGGUGGUUCAGUAAGCGACAAGGAAAUGUUCAAACAAUCAGGAAUCGCUGAGUUGCUGACAGAAAACAUGGCAGUAAUGGUCGAUAAAGGCUUCGUAAUCAGUGAUUGCUGCAAAAGCAAAGUUUACUGCCCACCCUUUCUGUCAAAAAACAAACAGAUGCCAGCAUGCCAGGUGAAGGAGACACAGGCCAUAGCCAGAUUGCGGGUGCACGUAGAGCGUGUCAUUCGGAGGAUAAAGGACAACCGGCUUUUUGAUGACCCCAUCACCCUGUCACAUGCGUACAAUAUCAAUGAGAUAUUUGCAGGUGCCUGUCUGCUUUCAAAUUACCAAAACAAGAAAAUGGGUUAAGUGAUUAUAUAAAGUUCUACCUAACAAUAUUAUUGCCUUUCAUGAAAUGCAGUAGAUCUGUCUGCUAGGAAGUAAGUAAAGAUUGACUGUUUAAAUGUUCAGAACACUUUACGUGCAGUUAAUGUUUGGAUUUUCAUAUGCAUUUGAUUUCCCAUUUGACAAAAAUAAAUAAUAAUGCAAUUGCUGAGAAAAAAAUAUAUUUAUGGUGAUUAUAUGGUCUCAUUGACAUUUCCAGGGAGAAACGGCACUUCUGGUGGUUUGGUUGACGGUGAGUUGCUGGCCAACGUGAGGUAAGAGCGCUGGUGAAGGUGAGAUGAGACUUUUUGUGAGUUAACAGAUUUUAGCUAAUCUAAUCUUGGGUAAUGUUUUUUACAUUUUCUUAAGACGCAGGUAGCUAGGCAUGUAAUAGUAGAAAAAGAGAUGGUCUGCCUUUUCUCGAAUUGCGCUCUGCACUUCUGGCUCAACAUAGAUUCUCUGCACUACGUAGUCUUCCUGCGCCCACACAACAAAGUCGCAUCACUGCAUUCCAGUUAUGAGCAGCUGGCCUUGGACUUGCCAAUAAUAAGAGUGGCUCUUUUUAAGUUGUGGCGAACCACCCUCCAUUUUCAAAUAUUUGCAGUCCAUAAAGUUGUGGACAUUGGGGCAUUUAAAUUCAACAAGGCCAAAUUGAGGGUAUUCGUUGGGGUCAAAAACAAUUCCAUCCGGGGAGGAAGCAAGCCAGGGGUUAGACGGAUGAAUGACAAGACCGCAGGGUGAGUAGUUGACGUUCAUCAGCUGACUGUACUCAGCUGCUACUGCAGGCUCCAUCUCAGCACCUCUCCUCAUGUCUGCUGUCUGCCGUGUGCCCUUAAUGAUGCGCUCUGCUAAUGCCUCUGCAGAGCUCUGGCCUCUGACAUGGCACACCUCACGAAACCUAGAGGUGGUCGCUCUGGGUCAGCGGAGCAGGUGCCACUCGGAGCAGGAGCUUUGCUCACGUGUAGCCUCCUCAAUUUUGUGGGCCAUUUCCAUGGUGACAGAAUGACUUUGCAAGUUUAGCAGCUCUUCUUCUGAGCACACAUAUGGACAUUGGGACGGUAAGAUGUCAUAACCCUCCAGAGGCAGACGGGGUGUUGGUGGUGUAUUGUGGUGGGGUGUGAUAAAGCGGGAUUUCACAGGAGGCUGCUGAUAUGACAACAUGCUACCCUUCUGCACUAACCCAAAGGCUGUUUCUACCAUGGGCUUGCCAGCUCCCAUGUUCAUUGUGAAACAAGAGGCUUGUCCUCCAGGUAAAAUUUCGCAUUGGCCUCCUCUACGCGAAGUAGGCAGGGAUCUGGCAAUUCUCCAACCAUGCCUCUGUAGAAUCCACUCCUACAAAGAAAUUAACAAAUUGCAACAUGUAUUUGCAACACAGGAAACUACAUUUAACAAAGCAAAUUACCUAACUCCAGUCUGGACCAUCCGAUUUGGGACAGGUUUCGUAAAAACCAUGGUAUUUACUGGUCCAGGCUUUACUCCCUGAGAAAAUAAAUGUUCAAUGGAGGGGUCACUUUAAAUCAAGACUAUUAAAAAAUUUAAUUAAAGUUUAACUUACCAUUGUUCACGGCUUGUGCCAUUGCUGCUCCGACUCCGUACAGCUAUGCACAGGGGGCACGACAGGAAGCUUCAACGAUGAAUAGUGUGCUGUCUGAAACAAUAAUGCUACUAAAUGGUUGCACAGAACAGUGGCAGCCACACAGGAGCAGUGGUGGUGACUUAGCAUCACUGGGGAUGAAUCACAAAGCUUGAUCUAAGAGAAAAGGGUAAAUCAUUAGAAAUUAUAACCUCAGCAUCAUGGGUGUAAAAAACUACCUGGUUCUUAUGAAGGUAAGCACUUGAACUGUGCUAGAAAAAGCCUACCAUCCUGAAUGCUUACUGUUAUAUUCUCUCCCUCUUAAAAUAAAGAUGUGUUUGUUUUUAAAGCGGACUCCAGGAAUCACACAAUUAUUCCACUGUACCUGUUCUUCUGCUUUGCAAACGACAAUAAAUAUCUUGAAUAUUGAAAAGUUGUAGUCUUGUACUCAUUACCUUGACUAAAUUAAUUUGUGUGCGGAAAAAAGGGAGACAUGAAAAACAUUCUAGUUGGUGGCCCUUGAGGACUACACUAAGCUACUGCUCAACCGAACAAACCCCACUGAACAGGGAUGAACACAGCAUCCUGCCUACACUCAAACUGUGUGGUGCCUCGCUCUUCCUCAUCGACCUGUAGCACAAGGCUCUCACGCUGACCUGCCUUGUCAGCUUGUCUUUAUUGGACACUGAAUUAAAUAACAUACAAAUUCAUUAAGCUUCAAUUGUACUGGGUUACGCAUCAUCACUAUCUAUAACAAGUGACUACAUGGAAAGUAAGGUUAGGUAGCUACCUAACGUUACUUUUGUAUACGCAAAACCGUGGCUAUAAAUUAAACAAAUAUUACUCAACACAACAGGCAAAAACAUCAAGGCUGAUAUAAAACACUGGUUAAGAAAUCUUGUUAGAAUUUGCUGUUACUGCAUCGUAAUACACGUUAGAAAGUGACAGUUAACUGACUGACUAGCCUUUGACAGUAGCUACUAGCUAGCGUCUGUUAGAAGUAGUUUUCUUACCUUCGUAGCUGUGAAUGUAGGUCGCAGCAUACAGCCUAAACCCCUUCUCCAAUUUGCUUGUCAGAGUUUUUGUUUCCCGACAUAAACGAUGCACAUCUGUGAUAUUUAUUGUCGGCAGGUCCUGUAAACACCGGGUGUAGAACGUUGCCAUCUUGGAACCGGAAGCUGUGGAGCUGUAUUACGGCAGGGUGCGGUACGGUUCGCCUCAGUCCGGUAGGGAGGGAGUAGUAUAGCCCAACUCAGUUCCGAGGUCGCAUUUCCACCGCCGAGAGUACCCUUUAUGGUAGGCCGGAUGUCGAUCGCCGCAGCAGCUACGUAAACAUCGUGACAUCAUAGCAGCGCGACACAGUGUAGCCUGCUCAAUAAAGACAAUGGAAAAGUUGAACGCGACACAUUAAACUGCACGUCUUCCUCCCCAAGAAUGCAGAAGAACGUCAUCGCCUCCUUGUUCACCCAAGCAAGCGUUUUACGCGACAUGUUCAUUGUAAAGAAUAAUAACUUGAGGCUACUGUUUGCUUGGUUUUUAUCCCCACGUCGCCCGGAAGUGACGAUUCUGUCGACCAAUCAACGGAGGGGGUGUGUAGCUCGAAUUCUCCGGCACCCUUUCAGGCGUCUCAGUACCCCAACGGAGGAGUACUGAAGACGAGGGAAAAACGAGUACGGCUCAGUCCGGGUCACGCCCACUUUUGGCGGUGGAAACGCAAUCCGUACCGCACCUUUGCGAACCGAACCGUACCGCACCCUGCAAUGGAAACGCGCCAUCAGCACCUGAGAUCAAUUAAGUCUGUGAGUCCUUAAGGUACGGCCACACUGAACACGUUA